rnacentral:lncRNA from 1 species
GUGGUUGCUCCACAAAUUAAUAUAAUAUCAUCACCACCAUGGUCCAACCACCGCGGAGUAAAACUGCUGUCAUAGUCGCCAUAAUUUAAGUUCCGUGAAGUAAAAUAACUACUACUGCGACCAUAAUUCGAAUGUUGCCAACAUCUUCCAUAUCCACUAACUGGUCUCUCACAAGGAGCAGCAUCGGAAGUGGGUGCUCCACAAAUGGAUGUAAUAUCACCACCACCACCGUGGUCCAACCAUCGUGGAGUAAAACUGCUACCGCCGUCCUCGCCAUAAUUUAAGUGCCUCCGGCAUCUUCCAUUUACUUGCUUGUUUGAUUUGAUUUUGAUGGGCACAUGUCUUUAGUUGGAACUACUACUGCUACCAUAAUUCGAAUGUUGCCAACAUCUUCCAUUUCCACUAACCGGUCUCUCACAAGGAGCACCAUCGGAAGUGGCUGCUCCACAAAUGUAUGUAAUAUCACCACCACCACCACGGUGAUCUAAGUGCCGCCGGCAUCUUCCAUUUACUUGCUUGUUUGAUUUGAUUUUGAUGGGCAAAUGUCUUUUGUUGGAUACAUGUUUAUCUAGUUUCCGAAGGAUAUCAUUGGAGCGACGUGCGCCAUUAGAACCUAUAUUCCAUGCAUAAUCGUAUUUUUCAAGAAGUCGAGCUUCAGUUCUUUGAGCUGCUGCCUUACUUUUCAUCUAUUUCACAAAGAAAAUAAAAAUGGUGUUUGGAAGUACAAGGAUAGUCACUAAAUUCCACAAUUUUAUCUCUAAACUUUUUCUUUUUGAGUCCAUACUAAUUCUAUAAUUUAGUAGCGCUCUUAAGCUAAGCAAUAAAAAUAAAAAAUGUAAAAAUCAAUCCAAACCGAAAUGUUUAAACGAUUUAUAAAAUAUAAAUUAAAAAUCAUAGUUAUAACAACGGUUAUUUAAUUUAUAAUUAAUUUUAAUUUUUUAUUAUUCAAAAAUAAAUAUUUUAUAUUUAAAUAAUAGAAUAAUUUAAAAACUUUAUAAACAUCAUGCAAGUAUUAUUGAUUAUUUUUAUUUACUUAAUUUAAAAAGUUAUUUAUGGAAUACUUUUUUGAAAUUCUAUCAAAUAAUGUCCAAAUGCAAUAAAACAAAGCUUGCCAAAAUAAAUCUAAAAAAUAAAAAUAAAAAAUUAAUAUGAAAAAUAAAAAAUCAAAUCUAGUUAACAUAGUUAUUUAAAAAGUUUUAGGAAAAAAAUUCGACUAAAUCAAACUCGAUACUACAUAGAGAUAUAUAUACAUGGUUUUUGACCUAGUUUUUGAAACUGGUCAAACUCGAUCCAAGUUCAAUUCAAUAAAUUAUUUUAAAAAUUAUAAAAAUUGAAAAAAUAUUAAAAAAUAUAAAAUUAAUUCAACCAUCAAUUCAGAGUAAAACCGAAGCCUCUUUUUCCGAACUGAUUUUCAAUCUUACAACAACCGACACCAAUAAAGUUAGAAAGUAGAAAAACAUAAACUCACAGAAGCCCAUCUGUAGAUAAUAGAGCAACCCCUCGCAAAAAUUGGAUCAAACAAAAGACAUUUUUUUUCCCGAAAUCCAUUUUGUCUACAGAGAUGAGUACCAUUACGGCCAUAUUGUUGGAGUCUUACUCUUAUAUUUUCAGCCUCCCCAACAUAAACCACCAAACCAGGUUCAAGCUUGCCAUGGCGGUCCCUACUCGGCAGUUUACACACCGCAAGCUCAUAGGUUCCUGGACCUAAACUUUGUGGAAGAUUUUCAAGCCUGUAUCUGGUCACCGCUCCACCUUUCCCAUUUUUCCAGCCAUGAGGACAAAUAAGAAGCUAAACAAAUGAAAAGAAACCAAAAAGACCAAGAUCAGAUUAAGGUUUAUAAAUCAAAUUUAAACUGGGUAUAGAUGAUCUUUUUCAGCAAAAUCAAAAGCAUGAUUAAGAGUUGGAUUAAGGCAGAUUAAAAAACCUUCCAUUCGGAGAAGUAGGAAUCGUGGUCGGUCUUCUUGUGAUCUUCUCUGUUCGACCUGUCGACGUGAACGGGAAUCCCAUCUUCUACGACUAUAAGCACCAUUAUGCAAAUGUCUCUGAUUGCACCACUUUAUGAAAGGGCAUUUCUUAUUUAUAAUAAGGUUGAAAUUGCCUUCUUUCUUUUUAUUUUUUAUUUUUAUUUUUACUUUAGACUCAAUUCGUUUUAUUUUAUUAUUUUAUAAAAAUUUAAAAUUUAAAAUUUUAAUAAAUUUUAGAAAAAUUAUCCAUAUUAUUAAUAAGGCAUGUAUAAAUUGCCAUGACAAUGUUAUUAUUUUUAACAACUCUAUAUUUAAAAUAUUAAUAAUUUUAUUUAAAUAAAAAAAGUUUAACUAAAUCUUAAAGAUUAAAUGACAAUAAAAAACUUUAGAAACUAAAUUUAUCAUCUUACCUUUAUGUUUUGUCCAUGCCUUCCCCAUCUUUCCCUCAUCUUACUAGUGAAAUAUUUUAAUCCUUAAGUUACAAGUAACCGACAAAAUUAUUUGUACGUUGAUGAUAUGAUAGAUCUAAGACUCGUGUCAUGAUGUGAUUCAAUCGAGUGAAUUUUAGCGUCCUUCGUAAGCUGUCCUUUUGCAGUCUUGUCUUCUUUUACGUGUGAAAAUGAGUUUUUUUCUUCUUAAAUGUAAUAAUUUAUUAUACUCUAUAAAAUGGGUCUUUUAUAAAAAUAUUACAAAAAAAAUUAAAAUAAUAUUAAUUUUUUUAUUUAUCAAAAUAAUACAAAAAACAAAAAAAUAAAAAAAAGCUAUUGGAGGAUGUGACAGCACCUUGGUGGACCUUAUAAUGGGAGGACCAUUCGGCUGUGGGUGGAGAAGAAAAGGAGAGGCAAAGGAGAAGAAAAAAAGAAAGAAAAAGAAAGAAAGAAAAGGAAAGGAGAAAAAAGAAAGAGAAAAAGAAGAAAAUGUAAUUUUUUGUAAUAUUUGUGUAAAAAAUUUAUGUUAUGUAUAUUGUAUGUGUUUUAUUAUUUUAUUUAGCAUAUAUAUUUUAUGAAAUUUAUUUAGCAUGAAAAAAUUCAUUUUAUGUACAUUUUAUGUUAAUUAGAAUUUUUUUAUGAAAUUUAUUUAGCAUGUUGUAAUUAGUUUUUUUACAAAAAUAACAUUAAAAAUAAAAUGAUAAAAAAUAUGUUUAAGAAAACAUAAAAUACUAAAAGAAAAAAACGGAAAUUGUAUAUUCACCGAAAGUAAGAAAAUCCGAAAAAAAUUGUAUAUUUAAAAAACACACUAAAUUAAUAAAUUUCAAACAUAAUGUACUAAAAUAAUGUAAAAUUAGAAAAUUAGAAAAUAGUAUAUUUUUUAAAGUAAUAAAAUGUAGAGAAAAUAAUACGAACAAAAUGCCAAAGUAAGGGUUUUUUACUAAAUUUUAAAAAAAAAGAAUUAAUUAAUACAUUUCAAACAUAAUGUACUAAAAUAAUGUAAAAUAAUAAAAUACGAAAAUAAUAUAUUUUUAUUGAAAGUAAUAAAAUUUGGGAAAAAAUACGAGUAAAUGGCAGAAAUGAGGUUUUUGUUUUAAAUUUAUUUAAAAACACACUAAAUUAAUAAAUUUCAAACAGUGUGUACUAAAAUAAUGUAAAAUAAUAAAAUUAGAAAAUAGUAUUUUUUAAAUAAUAAAAUUCGGAAAAAAAAUAUGAACAAAGGGCCGAAAUAAUGGUUUUUUACUAAAUUUUUUUUUGAAGUUGCAGGCAUCGCAAUGACUUCAUUGAUUAAUAGCGAUACAUACAUAUCUGAUGCGGCUAAUAACAUGGUAAUAUAUUAUUAUUUGUUAAUCACGGGUUCUAUUAAAAAAUGAUAUAUGUAAUAUAUAGAAAUAAAUCAUAUUAUCCUAAUAUUUUUCUGUAAUUUAACACUAUCAGGGCUCGUACCGAGUAAUAAGGGGCCGGGUGAAUGGUUUAAAGUAUCCCCGGAUACUUAGGGUUUUUACUAAUAAUAAUAACUAACCAUAAUAAUAAUAUUAGUUUUUUACUAACAAUAAUUAUUAAUAACUAAACCCUAAAAACUAACAAUAAUAAUACUAACUAGAACCAUCAAUUUGAGUUUUUAUUAAUCUUAAUAACUAUCAAUAAUAACUAAACUAACAACAAAAAAACAUAAUAACAAGAUAAUCCAUUAUUUUUUUUUAAAAUACCUUAUUUUUUUUCUUCUCUUUCUCUCUUUUUUCCGGCACCACCUUCUUCUUCUUAUUCUCCUUCAACUAGAUGGAUACUGGACUUAUAAUACAAGUGGUGCCGUCUCUGCCACAGGUAUCUUUGGUGCCGCAUGUGGCAUCCCAUUUUCUACUGUUUUUUUGUAUUAUUUUGGUAAAUAAAAAAAUUAAUAUUAUUUUAGUAUUUUUUUAUUUUUGUAAUAUUUUUGUAAAAGACCCCUAUAAAAUACUUAUUAAAUUCUUAACUCUGUCUAUAAAAUUUAAAAAUUCUAUUAUACCAAAUAUUUUCUCUCAUGUUUAUUAUUUUUUUAAUAUUUUUUUAAUUUUAUAUAAUUAACGUAAACAAUCAUACCCAAAAGCUAAGUAAAAUAUAUAAAAUAUUCUAAAAAAAGUAUUCGUAUAAUGUUUAAAAAAUAAAAAUGUUACAAAUUAAUAAACAAACAUUUUUCCAUGUAUUUUUUUAUUAAAUUUUUUCUUGUUUAUACCAAAUAUUUUCCCUCAUGUUUAUUAUUUUUUUUAAUUUUAUAUAAUUAACGUAAACAAUCAUACCCAAAAGCUAAGUAAAAUAUAUAAAAUAUUCCUAUAUUCUUGGCCUCUUUAAAUAUUAAAUACCAUGAAAAUUAACACUAUAUUACAAAAUACCUUUCUCAAUAUUUUCACUACGUGAAACAAAAUUUUAUUUACUUACACUUGCAAUUUGUGGGGGCAAAAAAAAGAACCUGUUCGCUCAAUCGACUUGCUUAGUCAGAAAAUUUGUAUAGAUUCGCAUAUCGAAUGAACAGCUUAGCAACUCGAAAAGAACCUGUUCGCUCAAUCGACUUGCUUUUUUGCACGUUUAUGCACCUGUCCUCCAGAGUAUAAGAACCUCAUCAGCUAAAAGGCUGAAAUUGGCAAAAAAAAUUGGGGUUCAUGUAUUUAUUUUUUUAAUAUCAUGAAUCAUGAGAACCUUGGACCAUCAAAGUAAUACGCUUCGCGCUGUCCGCCCGAAGACUCGAAGACUAUCUCCUUUCAAACCAAUCUGGGAGGAGAAUCAUAUUCAACAUAACCUCAAAAGACUUGUUCCGACAAAAAUUUCGAAACAACAAUUUAAAAACAGAUGAUGCAACCCUCUGUUCGGUGAUUUGCUAUCAGAAGAGUUAUAUGAUUAUUCUACAAAGUUUGUAUUCAAAGGCAGAUUGAUUACCUCAGGACUAUCAGCUGGGAACCACCGUAAUAGUACACCAAGACAAACAACAGCUGGAAUCAGCUUGAAAAGCAAUGGAGUAGUCACCUGCAUGGUAAUUUUAUGAGUAAAAUCUGAACCUUGAGAGCUAACUAUGAAAGAACUUUAAGAAAUUGGCAGUAAAAGUACCAUGAAAGCCCCUGUAGUGGGAGUCGGGUUGGAUUUUUUCUCCUCCACCCGGAAAAUGAGCAUCCUUGUACAUUAGAUCAAAAGGUAAAUUGGUCCUUCUAUUAAAAUUCCAUCCAUUUCUAUUAUUAACAAAAUGACAAUUUACUCUUUGAUCUAACAUAUAGGGAUUAAUUUGCGCUUUUUUUGAGCAAAAGAGGCAAAAUACAAUUUGACUCGUAGUACAGGGAGCUCCAUGGUACUUUUAUCUGAUUUUGGCUAAUUACAUAUACAUAAGGAAAAAAAAAAAGGAUUCACAACAUCCAGAUCAUCCUCACAAGACAAUAAUACAAAAGCUACAACAUAAUCCAACAGCAGCCUCCAAGUGAAUACAUAAUCAUGUUAUUGCUAAGUUAAUCCUUCGGCUCCGGCACUCACCCAAACAUAUUAAACGGUGACUCUCGAUUGAUCAAUGCUCGGGCCAACCUGCCUUGACCUAUCGGUGCUGCCAACACCUUCCAUUUCCCUUGACUGGUCUCCGGCAGAAUGAGCGAUUGCGGGUUGGUGCUCCACAAAUGGAUGUACCCUUCCUGUCAUUGUUUGAGUUUCGCGGAGUAAAAUCAUUGCUGCGGCUGCAACUAUAUUUUAAGUGCUGCCAACACCUUCCAUUUCCAUUACCUGUUCUCUUGCAGGGGGUACCAUUGGAGGUAGGUACUCCACAAAUGGGUGUACUACAAUUGUUGCUGUUGAGACUUGAACUCGAGUCGAAAACAUGGGAUGGACUCUUUUUGUCUAAUCCGGAAACAAGAGUGGUAAUCAUCAUCCCCGUAUGAUUUUCAUAAAAAACUGAAGCUUCUUCAUCAGAAUAUGAAUUGAAAACAGCAUAUGGCAUUGUUUAAUAUCUUGUUAUCUCGGAAUCAGAGCUAUAAAUUCUCCUCCCUUUGUGCAAAUCACAUCCUUUUCUCCCGGAAACGGGUUGCCUUCUACAAAGAGAACCAUCAUCCAUGGCAACCCCACAAAUAGGACUACAAUGCUCGAUUUCGGGAUAGUCCUCUUUAUGUGGUUGUGAUUUCAUACUCAACCUCAUGGAAGACCCUGUAGUUUUCUUUCCCUUGUGUUCAGCGCAUCGUUUUCUUCCUUCAACCGGUGGCCUUUUACAAAUCGAACCAUCAUCUAAAACCACCCCACAAGAGAAGGUUUCGUUCUCGUUGGAGCCACCGUGAUUCGAAACCAACCGAGGCCGGGAUCUGCUGAAGUUGAAAACUUGAAGCAAAAAGUUGUGGUUCUCUCCAUUUUUGUAUUUGCCAAACUCAUUGUCGUCCGAAACUAGCUUGCUUGCUUUGAUUUUGAUUCCUACUUGCUUUUGAAGGAAGGGCAGAUGCUUUUUGGAGAAAUUGGCUAAUUUCAUAAGAUUUGAUGCAUGCUUAUCUAGUUUUUGAAGGAUAUCAUCGUGACGACGUACACCUUUUGAGCUUAUUCCAUGCAUAAUCAAAAGUAGUGAGAAGCUGAGCUUCAGUUCUCCGAGCAUCUGCCUUGUUUUCCAUCUAUUUAACAUGGGAAAGUAAAAUAACAUUAGGAAUUAGAUUAAAAACCAAAUUUUGGAUACAAGGAUGAACAUGUAAUAAGAACAUUGAUGAAAAAGUGCAUUUUCAAAGCUUCUUGGCCUUCAAAAACCAUAUCAUCUGCAAUUCAUUCAAGACUAAGAGCUUAUAACAGUAUGAAGAAUAUAUAUAUAUAUUAGUUCACCAUUUGUGAAAUUGGCCUUUACACGUAUAGGCUUUCAUUGUUCUGGUUAUGUUCCUUGGACUCUUAAUUUUUCUUGAAGUAUCCGACACUCUUGUCUAACACAUGGAUAUGGGGAUAUGACCUCCAAAGAUCCUCCAAAUACAUGAAAAAACAUUAAAAAGACUAAUCAUAUUCGUGAGGGAUACAUAUCCAUAUCCGACAAUCACACCCGAGUCCGAGUAACAUAGGUUCUUGGAACACAUUUUUCCCUAUGAUUCUUACCAUUUUCACCCUCCUAAGCAUAAACAUUAACAGUUAUUAAGUGCUUAAAUGCUACAACUAAUCAAUUAAAGCCAGUAAAGGGCCGUUGUAGUAUAAUCAGCAAACAUUAGGAAAGCUUCAAAAUCUUAUAUAUAUGAACUAGAAGAUCAAACAUCACCAGAACUCCUUCACUAUGUAUGCACUAUGAACUUACGAUUGUUAUAUUUUGCUACUAAAAUCUACACCUGAAAUAAAUUACAGUUUCAUUUCAAAUUUUAAACUUUCUCAAAUUUCCGUUCAAACUUUCAUAUGAUACUAAUCAAGUUAAAAAAUUAGCCAAAAAACUUCAAAAUAUUAUAUAUUAUGUGUGUGUGUGUGUAUAUAUAUAUAUAUGACCUAGAAGAUCAAUAAAACAUCACUAGCACUUCAUCACUAUGCAUGAAUUAUGAACUUAACCACUGUUAUAUUUUACUACUAAAAUCUACACCUGAACCUCAUAUAAAUUACAGUUUUAUUCCAAGUUCAAAACUUCUCAAAUAGGUUCCAUUCAAACUCUCAUAUGAUAUCAAUCAAGUUAAAUUUAGCAAAAGAAACAGAAAAAUAUUAUAUAUAUAUGAACUAGUAGAUCAAUCAAAACAUCACUAUCACUCCACUAAGUAUGAAUUAUGACUGCUAAAAUCUACAUUUGAUAUAAUUUACAGUUUCAUUUCAAAUUCAAAACUUCUUAAAUAGGCUCCAUUCAAACUCUUAUAUGAUACCAAUCAAGUUAAAAUUAGCAAAAGAAACUUCAAAAUAUUAUCAAGUUAAAAUUUCACCAGAACUCCUUCACUGUGCAUGAACUAUGAACUUACCAUUGUUAUGGUUUACUACUAAAAUCUACACCUGAUAAAAAUUACAGUUUAAUUUCAAAUUCAGAACUUCUCAAAUAGUUUCCUUUCACUAAUAUGAUGCCAAUCAAGUUGAAAUUAACAAAAAAUUUGAAAACAAAAAGUACUCACAGGAGCCCAUCUGUAAACAAUAGAGUAGCCUCUAGCAAAAAUGUCCUCAAAGCAGCCACAUACUUUAUUAUCCCCCGAGUCAUUUCUGCCCAAAUGAGCACCUGUACGGCCAUAUUGUUGUAGCCUUGACCUGACAUUAUCAGCCUCCCCAAGAUAAACCACCAAAACCUUGUCUGAGUCAAGCUUGCCAUUAUGGUCCCUGCUCGAAGGUUUAUUUAUAGCAAGCUCAAAAAGACCUGAGCUUGCAGUUUUGGGGAGAUUUUCAACCCUGUAUCUAGCCACUCCUUCUUUCCCCACUGAAUGGUCUUCCCAAUCAUGAGGACCAAUUAGAACCUAAACAAAUGACAAACAAAAGGACCCAGAUGAGAUUAAGGUUCAUAAAUCGAAUAUAAAAACUGCGCUUACAUAAUUGUUUAUCAAAAUCGAUGAGAAAUGGGAUAGGGAUUCAUUUUUUUGCUUUAAAAAAAGCCUGUUGUCAAUGGAUGGUUGAAUUAAGAGGAGAAAAACUGAGAAGAAUUUAUGGAAUUUGAAUGGGGGCACCUUCCAUUUGGAGAACUGAGAGUCGUGCUUGGUUCGUUUGUGAUCUUCUCGGUUGAAUCUGGUACCACAUCGGCCAAUUUAGCCGCUCCCAUUGGGAUCGGAUCUUCCUUGUGGGAAAGAACCGUUGUAUUUGUUUGCGCCACUUUAUAACGGGCGUUUUUUUUCAUUAUAAUAUUGCCCUAGUUGCAUUUUUUGUUUUUGGAACUUACUUUAUUAUUAAAAUAUUUGGAUUUUUUUCUUCUUUUAGGAAUAAAACAUUUGAAUUAUUAAUAAUGUGUUUUAAACCGAAUUAGUGGUCCAACCGGUUGAGCUAUUGGUUCAUCGAUUUAAUUGGUCUGAUCGAUACAACCAGUUCAAUUAAAAAAUUAAAAAUUGAUUCAACCGAUUUGAUCGUCGAUUCAACAAGUUUUUAGUCAGUUCAAUUGCUUCGUAUUGAUUCUUAAUCUAACUAGUUCAAAGCCAAUUUUCGGAUCGGUUCGUGAUUCAAUCGGUUCAAUUGAUUGGUCCGGUCCGAUUCAAACAAUACUAAUUCUUAAGACUUAAGAUACUAUAUUUUAUAUUCUCAAAAAAAAUUUCUUUUAUUGUUUUUUUAAGAAUGAUUUUUUAAAAAAAAAUGGUUCAAUCGUCUGAUUCCUAAGUCAAUUUGUCUAAUGGAUUUCUCCGAAUCAGUACCCUUACCAAUUUCGAGCUAACUGGUCUAAUUCAAGUUUUUAUGAUUUUUUUAUAAUUUUUAUAAGUUUAUAUCAAUUUUAAUAUUUUUUUCAUAAUUUUUACAAUUUUUUUUAUUAUUUUUAAAGUAUUAUGUUUUUUAAUUUAAAUAUUGUAAAUACCUUUUAUUUUUUUAUAAUUUAUUAUAUUUUUAUAAUAUUUGUAAGUUUUUAUAAAAAAUUAUAAUUUUAAUAACUUUACAUCAAUUUUAAUAUUUAAUGUUUUUUAUAAUUUAUUUUGAAUUAUUUUAUUUUAUUUAUAAUUUUUUUAUUUUUAAUAUUUUUUAUGAGAAUAUUAGAUUAAGCCAAAAGAUGUCACGUGUCACCAUUUAAUUGAUUUGUCAAUUUAAUUUAACAGUCAACAUGAUCAAUAAUGAAACCCGUUAAUGGGGGGAUUGAUUAAUUGUUUUAGUUAACAUCAAGGGCUUAAUUAGGUGCGAAUUUAAUACAUGGACUUAAUUAAUCUCUUUUGUAUUUUCUUAAGGGUUUUUUGACAUAUAAACCUAUUAUAUAUAUUAUAUUAUAUUAUGUUAUAUUAUAUUAUAUUAUAUUAUAUUAUAUUAUAACUUGUGACAUAAUUGUAUCGUAUUUAAAAUUAUCAUUUUUUUAUAGAAUGAUUGUUGAGCAUAAUAAAAUCAAUCAAGAAACUUUGAUACUUAAAUUCAAGUUUCACCAUAUAUAAAUAUAUUUGAAUUUUCCUCUAAAUUUAUUCUAAUUCAUUGAAUUGAGUUGAAUUAAUUAUUUAAUUUUAAUGCUUGUAUGGAUAAAUUUCGAUUAGAAUAAUCAAUAUAUAUCAUCAAAAUUAAUUAAUUAACUCUUUAUUACAAAAAUACCUUCCUCAAUAUUCCAUUACAAAAAUAUAUUUAUAUACUAGACACUCGCUAAUGAGUACCGCAUCCUCAAAAUUGUAACAUUGCCAUGGCAUAUAAGCUAUAAGUACGUUUUUGCCCAAUGCGAGUUCGCCACCAACCGUAACUGCACCGUCCGCUAAAAUUUGCCACAAAUCAUGAAUUAGUAUCUACAUCUACUCUCUAAAAAAAAAUUCAAUUGUUUCGAACUUUCUAGUUUGGAAUGGGAAUAUUUACGGAAUCCCCAUGAAUAGGAUCAAACCUUAUUCCAUGGUAUUUACAUGAGAUUCCUCUUUCUUAUUCUUAAGCAAGUCCCCGAUACCAAGCUUCACUUACUAUAAAUACAAUAACUUUAUUUUUGUAAUUUGCACAUAAUAUUCACAACAAUCACACAUCCAAACACAAAAGCUACAAUGUAAAUCCACCUCUAGCCUAAGCUAAUAGACAAUUAUGCCAUUGUUAAUUUAAUCCUUUCGUUCGGACUAUCACCGGAGCAGACGAGAGGGUUACUUUCGAUCCACAAAUGCUCCGACCGACCAACCUUGAUCGAUCAAUGCUACCAAUAUCUUCCAUUUCCCCCAACAGCCAUUCGGUAAAAAGAACCAUUGCGAGUCAUAGUUGAAAGUACAGCAAAGUAAAAUAACCACUGCUGCUGCUGCUGCAACCAUAAUCCAAGUGUUGCCAACACCUUCCAUUUCCACAAACCGGUCCCUCGCAAGGAGCACUAUUGUAGGUGGUUGCUCCACAAAUUAAUAUAAUAUCAUCACCACCAUGGUCCAACCACCGCGGAGUAAAACUACUGUCAUAGCCGCCAUAAUUUAAGUUCCGUGA